rnacentral:rRNA from 1 species
GGAGUGGGAGGUAUUUAUUAGAUAAAAAACCAAUGCCCCUCGGGGCUCCUUGGUGAAUCAUAAUAACUUAACGAAUCGCAUGGCCUUGCGCCGGCGAUGGUUCAUUCAAAUUUUUGCCCUAUCAACUUUUGAUGGUAGGAUAGUGGCCUACCAUGGUGGCAACGGGUAACGGGGAAUUAGGGUUCGAUUCCGGAGAGGGAGCGUGAGAAACGGUUACCACAUCCAAGGAAGGCAGCAGGCGCGCAAAUUACCCAAUCCCGACACGGGGAGGUAGUGACAAUAAAUACUGAUACGGGGCUGUUUUGGGUCUCGUAAUUGGAAUGAGAACAAUCUAAACCCCUUACCGAGGAACAAUUGGAGGGCAAGUCUGGUGCCAGCAGCCGCGGUAAUUCCAGCUCCAAUAGCGUAUAUUAAAGUUGUUGCAUUUAAAAAGCUUGUAGUUGAACCUUGGGUCUGGCUGGCCGGUCCGCCUCCCCGCGAGUACUGGUCCGGCUGGACCUUUCCUUCCUGAGUCAUUGAAAGGGGCACAGUGG